rnacentral:misc_RNA from 1 species
GCAAACUUGGUCAUUUAGAGGAAGUACAAGUCGUAACAAGGUUUCCGUAGGUGAACCUGCGGAAGGAUCAUUAGUGGAAAAGCGCGUCCCGUUUGGGCCGCCACCCCCUCUUCAUACUGCUCAGGUUCCCGUUGCUUCCCCGGCACACGGAGGCUUCUCGCUGAGGCGACUGCUUUCGCCGGGGGUGUUUUGCGUAAAAACCGUUUUGUUAUUUUUUUUGCAAAGAUUGAAAAAAGAAAAGAAAACCAAAACUUUCAACAACGGAUCUCUAGGCUCUUGCAUCGAUGAAGAACGCAGC